GAAUAUUAGUCAAUGCUCGCAAGAGUGAACUAGCUAACUGAAAUCACAGGAGCCAUAAAAAUGGCGAAUGUAAUAACGUAAGGGAAAAUAAUGAUAUUACCUUACUAUAAGUGUUGUCCAAAACUGGUGCCAGAAGACUCGGUAAGGCCAGAGACGCAAACGUUAGUCGUCUUAAUCAGGCGUAAAGGGUAUGUAGGCUGCUUUAAAAGUUUUAAUAUUAAUAGCUAUUUGUAAGUAGAAUUAAAAAAACUUAUUUAAAAAAAUAUUUUAUGAAUUAAAGCUAGGAUCAAAUUGAGGAUAAUUAAAAUAAUACUUAGUGUAGGGUUUAAAUCUGAUGAUACUAGGGGGAAUACUAACGGUGAAAACUUUUAUCUAGAAAUGAUUGACGCUGAGAAACGAAGGUGAGAAUAGGAAAUAGGAUUAGAUACCCAGAUACCUCUCACAGUAAACGAUGAAUGGUGGUUGUUAGUUUUUUAAUUUAACUGAUAACGAUGUUAACACGAUAACCAUUCCGCCUUGCGAGUACGGUUGCAAAACUGAAACCAAAAAAAUUAGUCGGUCUCGAAGCAAACGAAGUGAAGCAUGUUAUUUAAUUC
rnacentral:rRNA from 1 species